rnacentral:tRNA from 2 species
GUUCUUGUAGUGUAGCGGCUAUCACGUUGCCUUCACACGGCAAAGGUCUCGAGUUCGAUCCUCGACUAGAACA